AACGAACGCUGGCGGCAUGCCUAACACAUGCAAGUCGAACGAGACCUUCGGGUCUAGUGGCGCACGGGUGCUUAACGCGUGGGAACCUGCCCUUGGGUUAGGAAUCACUCCCCGAAAGGGGUCCUAAUACCGGAUAAUGUCUUCGGACCAACGAUUUAUCGCCUUUGGAUGGGCCCUCGUUGGAUUAGCGAGUUGGUAGGGUAAACGCCUGCCAAGGCGACGAUGCAUAGCUGGUCGGAGAGGAGGAUCAGCCACACUGGGACUGAGACACGGCCCAGACUCCUACGGGGAGCAGCAGAGGGGAAUAUUGGACAAUGGGCGAAAGCCUGAUCCAGCAAUGCCGCGGGAGUGAUGAAGGCCGUAGGGUUCUAAAGCUCUUUUACCCGGGAUGAUAAUGACGGUACCGGGAGAAGAAGCACCGGCUAACUCCGUG
rnacentral:rRNA from 1 species